AUUGCACAAUGGGCGAAAGCCUGAUGCAGCAACGCCGCGUGAGUGAUGAAGGCCUUCGGGUCGUAAAACCCUGUCCUCAAGGAAGAUAAUGACGGUACUUGAGGAGGAAGCCCCGGCUAACUACGUGCCAGCAGCCGCGGUAAUACGUAGGGGGCUAGCGUUAUCCGGAUUUACUGGGCGUAAAGGGUGCGUAGGCGGUCUUUCAAGUCAGGAGUGAAAGGCUACGGCUCAACCGUAGUAAGCUCUUGAAACUGGGAGACUUGAGUGCAGGAGAGGAGAGUGGAAUUCCUAGUGUAGCGGUGAAAUGCGUAGAUAUUAGGAGGAACACCAGUUGCGAAGGCGGCUCUCUGGACUGUAACUGACGCUGAGG
rnacentral:rRNA from 1 species